AGAAAGUGAAAGCGUUUGCACAUCUGUGGUGCUCCCGUGAAAAUACUGCUGCUUCUCAAAGAAUCGAGUGUGCCCACCUCAGCUGUGUGCUUUAUCAAAAAAACAUUUGAGUAGCGUUGGUGUAUGCCAAUCACCAAAGAGCUUAGCAAUGUUUACUAAUAAAGUUCUCUAUGCAAUAAGUAUAUUGAAGUUUCUCUCAAAUUCAUAAUUCUACUUUCAAAAUGGACAGUGCAAGUUUCCUGACCUGCUGCAGCAGGGAGAUUCUUUUCGAGGUAAGCCUUCUGUACCAACUACAGGACAACAACUUUGGCCUUGGUAUUAAGCUCUGAAAACACUGAAACUGUAUCCUGUUGGCAGGAUACAGUUUGAAACUUUCAGCAUUUUAAUUUAGGUCAGUGAGCAUGGGUGGAGUGGUUUUGGAUAACUUUGGAUUUCUGCCUCAACUUCAUCCUGCUUGGCUGCUGGGUCACUUUAUUGAAAUACUAGAAAACAUGCCCAAAAUCCCAUGAACAAACUACACAGAUCAGAAUGUCCCAACCAUGAUUAAAGCUAAGAGUUAAACCCAUAACAAGUCUGAGGAAGCCAGCCUCCACAAUGCUUUCUCAUUUUAAAAUUGUAAGUAACAUAGCUUUUACAAACAAGAAGCCUGAUGUUAACCAGACAUGUUCCACAUCUUUGAAAUCAAUCUGUAUUAAUGCUUCAGCAAAUAUUGAAAAACUUAAGCAAUCACUUAAAAACAUGGCAGUCAUUGUUACAGAAAAAUGCAUAAAAUAGAACACAUUUUCCCCCAUGAUUUCUGAUUACUGACCAAUCACACUCAUUUAUCAUUUAUUCCCCCCAUAUUUAUACCAAUUUCAUAGAUAUGAAAAAAAUAUGAAAUUGCAUACAGCUUCAUUCACAAACUAGAUUCAUAGAGCUAUGUUCAAUUUCUUAACAUAGCCAUAUUUAUAGGAAGUCAGCCCAUGUCAUUCAUGUAAAUUUUAACGGUAUGUUAGCAUACCAAAAAGCUUUGGAAUUCCAAUCUGUUGCCUUAAAUCUUUGGGUUGUGAUUUUUCCCCCCUCUCCAGAGUAUGAGUCUUUACCACAAUAGAUUUCUGAUUCAUAAUCAAAGCCUCAAUGUGCUACCACAAUAAAAAUAUCAACACAAAUUCUUGUAGAAACUUAGUCUGUGUUUUAGCAAGACCAAUAUUGGUAUUUGAGAAUUCACCGAUAGAUUAUCUAAGCCUAGCACCUAGUCUACAGAGCCGUCAAUAUUUGUCCAGUAUUGGUACAUUCAUUAGUGAAUCCUUUUGGAAGGGGAAUAUAUUGGCUGUGGAUAGAGUGGUAAAAUCCACUCCUUUUGCUUGCCAGAAGUCAAACGUAUUCAUAAAGACCCACCUGUCUUUUUCAGAAUACUUCUCUAUGUAUACACUCCUACCAGAGUGACAUUAUUGCACAGUACUUUCUGUACAAUGCAGACAGAAAAGACGCAGUGAAGAAUUCCAAGACAAUUUUAGGAUUAAUCUAUACUAUUAAUGACAUAUUAAUGGUCAUGUCGUUCUCCUAGUACAACCUCUUUGGUACUAGCAAAUACACUAAUUUUCAUACUGAUUGCAAAACUACCUAUGAUUUUCUAUGCUCUUUACGUGCCAUAAGCCUUAGCCUUUUAACAGCUAUUACAGCGGGUUCAUCUGCAUCAUUUCUACUUCAUGAAGACAGUGUCUAUAAUCUUUGUAUGCUUGAACAAAAAACCCCAAACCUCUGAAACUAUACAAGGCUGCUAGUUAUACUGCUUCUAAUUGCAAUCUGUUGUUCUGUAUUUUGGGCUAUGAUUUACUAUUUUUCCAGAUUCCAACAGCCUAACUUCCCCAGUAUGUGGAAAAUGGAUGUUGCAGUUGCACAAAUCAGCUGUGCAUGUACACCGACUCUUUACUGUAUGCGCAGGAAUUUCUUGUGCCCAUAUACUAUGUAUCUACAUUGUUCCUGACCAUCUUGCACCUUCCACUUUGAAUUUCUAAGUGUUGUCAGACUUGGGACAGAUUCUUUUCAACAAUUCAACACAGAUCAUUUUUCUACAGUUAUUACAGAGAACAGAAAAAUUCACAAUUUGCAAAGCAGGAUGGACUUUAACAUAUAGUUUGCAAGAACUAGUAUGCUCUCUAAUAUAGACAUCUAUUGACAGUUACAGAAUGAUUCAAACAUGCUAUUAUUUCUGCCUUCUUCUGUUGUUUGAACCAUAUUUGGUUCAAUAAUUGUACAGCUGGUUUAAAAGUAGUCUGUUUUCUCUGGAUAGCCCGCUAAUGCUGGUAGGAAGUCUAAUCGUGAAUGUUUAACCUCCAAAUAUUUUGCAGACUGAGAAUAAGGGUAGUAUUUAAUUUCUUUAAUAUAGAUUUGCUUAAAAUAAGACUUAUAUUUUGUAUCUUAAAUAAUAUUCUUUGCACUUUGAUAUCUGAAAGGCUAAAAUCCUGCUCAUGCUCCAGGAGUUACCAUAAAAAGAAGCAACAUGAAGUAUGUUUUACUCCAAUGUUUCACCAUUUAGGGAAAAGUGAAUCUGUAAGAUCAAUCUAGAAAGAGAUCACAACCAUAAAAAUGCACCAAAUUUGUAUGGAUGACAUCAUGUAAGUGAUUUAAAUCUUUGCAAACUCUUAACUGAGAAACAUGAUCCUCACUUCUUGCUUUUAAUAGUAUAAGUCUCCAUCUGCAGGUAGAGUUGAUCACAAGCUCCAUCCUCCAUCAAUGAUGAGUUCGUUGCCAGUCAUGUAGGCAGACUGAAAUUACAUAAAAGGAAUGAAGAUGACAAUGACAACAGAGGAGGAUUUUGUUCUUUCUCAAUAUACCUACAAAGCUCCUAAAACGUGAAGGACUAGCAUCAUCUCUGUUGUGGAGCACCAAGGAAUUUGUGCACCUAAAAUAAAAUCAAGAGAAACCAGCCUGAGGACAAGGUGUAACAUUCCUGCUGCUUGCCUGCCCCUAGGAUUUACCUCCUACCUAGUUGAUAGAAUUAUUAAAAUGACACUACUGUUAUUUAUCUUGUUCCAACUUGCAUGGUACGAGAGAGUGACAAAGACUUUAAAAAACAAAAUAAACCAACAGCAUAACCCUGACUAUAGUUUGUUCUGUAUAAUCCCAGCAUAGCUAUUCAGUCAGUUAAGGCGAAGCUACCUUUCCAAGUGAAUCUAAAAUGAUUGCUUACCUUUGUAAAAUGCUACUGAUCAAUACUCUGUGACGUGAAUCCCCACAUGCAACAUGAUGUGCUCUUCAUAUGAAACAUCCCCCUCAAUCACUUUUACAGUGAAGGAUCACUGAUCUGAAGUUGAAUGCUUUGCUGACAAAUACUCAUUGCUAUGAGCUGGUAUGUUGGUGGUAGUUCUUAAGGUACGUACUAUCCACCUUGCCAUCUUUGUCACCACAGUAAGUCACCCUACAUGGGCAUCUGUCUCAUCCCAUCUGCCAACGUAGCAAUUCACUGAUCCCCUCCAAACUCUUCUUGCUUUGGAGAAGAAUAAAGCACAGCUCUCUAGCAUCUUUGAAUUGUAGCUAAGUUAUAAACUUUUUAGGCAUCACAGAACCUCAGAUGCCUAAAGUU